rnacentral:sRNA from 1 species
UCUCAAACGCUAGGCUUAGGAAAUAAUCACACGACUGACUUCACCACCGCCUGCUUGAUGAGCUUCCGGUCUGAGCACCAGGAAGCGAGAGCACAGAAGAUGUCCGGAGGCACAACCUCUCAGGCACUGUCUUCAGCAAGUCAUAAAACUGUCGUACCUCAGCGGGGUAAAAUCAGAAUCCAGAAGGUUUUUUUGUUUGUUUGUUUGUUUUUUGUUUUUUGUUUUUUGCUUUUUUUUUCUGUCAUCUGAUGGUUAUGGUCAGAAUUUCACUGGAAGUAAGAAAACUGGUAUUGCAAACAGAUGGAUGGAUGAGAGUCUGUACCUUGAAUUUAAUGUCUCUUCAGAAAUAUUAUCACCAUAAUAGAUUUUAAAAGCACCGCUAGGAACCGUGAUAUACUCACAUUUUUGAUGACAUAGAUGUAACCUUAUCUUUUGUGACUAUCAAGAGGUCAUUAGAAGACAAGAAAACAGGGUGUAUUUUUCAGUCAAGUCAAAGAGAGUCCUUGUUUAUAGAUGGAGAAAGACAACCACAUGGAGACUAAGCUGCCCGUGUUCACAACAGCAACAACAGAAGCACACCCAAGAAGGCUAUUUCUAAAGAAAGUCUCCAUCUCUACCAUACAAGUAGACUCCAAGGUCAGGAGCUCACGAGCCUGCAGAACCCUGAGCCGGGACCCUCUGCUGAGCAGAAUCCUGCCUUGGUGCCACCGUUGUUAGACAUCUUACCUCAGCAUAGACGGCAACCUCGAGAGGAGACGCAUGGCUUAAUGUGUGUCUCCAGCUGUCAAAUGACCUACAAAGAAGUUUGAUCAUCAACAACAAAUGUGCAUCCGCUCAGGAGAAGACCCUUACCUCAAACACACAGCGGGAUGGCUGCAGUCCAUGAACUUUGAGUAUGAUGAAAGUCUACUCUCCACACCACCACCAAGACGGGCAGCAGCCAGCCCGUCUUUCCUCAGAUCUGCCUCCGCUUACAGAUUCCUGACUUGCAAACCGAAAAGAAGAAUCUCACGCACCAUUUCUCUGCCAGCUGAGUUCCUGUCCUGGGAUUGAACUUAGCUGUCGCGCUUGAGAGAUGGCGUUUUUACCAGGUAAGCCAUCUCCCUGGCCCCUUUCAGUGCCCUUUAUGUUCAAGAAUAAGAAGUCUGCAUCUGAAGAACGUGAAGGUGGAUCGACGAUAUCAGCAACGUUAAUUGGCUCGUUUCUCAGUGGCUACAAAGAAAGGAGCUUGUGAUUAAUAAGGCUUUGAUUUUUCCAGUGUAUUUUAUUUUGAUGUUUUAAGACGGAGCUUCACCGUGUUGCCCAGGCUGCUCCAUCUGCCUCGGUCUUCCAAGUAGCUGGGAUUACAGGCAUGUACCGCCAUGUACCGCCAUGUUGGGCACGGUGUACUUCUAUUUGGUAGUUGAUACAAUGGCAUUAUGCAACACUGACCAGACUUGGUUAGGUCACCUCUUGCAGGGGGGAAUUCUGUGGUUUCCUUUCCCUACUAGACCUGUGUCAUUGAGCAAACUAAAUUAGCAGAGCAAUUCACCCCUACAUAAGCCAUUAAUGAAGUGCCUCCAUUAUACAUGCAUAUUCAUUAGCUCGCCCCUGAGGAAUUCUCCAUCAAUCCCAGCACACAAAGCCCUGACAAGUCAAGACAGAUGAAGCUUCUCCGUGGUCGAGGAGGUGCUAGCUUCCUGUAUUGUAACACGGAGUGAGUGUCCGUGGCGCUUUCCUUUGUAAAGCUGAGAGAUACUGUGGCUCCCACACAAUGGGAGAGGAUCACAGAGCUCACAGGACAACCAGGGCUCGUCUGGUAUGGCACACAGAAUGGGAGCGGUGGCUCUUUUUCAUCUUCCCGUAAACUUCCUGGGAAAUGAUCUUUCUGAAAGCUUCGUUAAGAAGGAAAUGGCCAUCUAGGUUUUAUUUCGGUCCAUAUUCUAAGAAUUUUGAAACAUGAAACGUGUUCCAGGAAAAAUGAAACAACAUUCAGGUUCAUUUCCUAAAGAUUUCCUAGUCAGGGCCUUAUGGUAACUACCUAAUCCCUUCCGAGGACAGCGUCCCAAUGUCCUAGUCACCUCUCCAAUACUCCAUCUUUCUUAAAGGUCCCCACCACUAUACAGUCUACAACCAUUGGAGGACAAAGUAUAUCCAAGUCAGAGCAUUGGUAUUAAGUAAAUACUUCCUUAAUACAACCACUUAGGUAUCCUCCCCCUUACCCCGCCCUGUGUGUGUGUGCGUGUGUUUCUCUGUCUUUCCCCUACUCAUAAGUUGGGGCACAGUCUGUUGCUUCAACUUUCUAACUAAAUCCAGUAUGCUAGGAUGAGAAAGAAGAGAAGAGAAACAAUAAAAAAAAAAAUCAAAACACACUCCACCCCACACCUGGAAACUAUGCCCCUCCCCCAAGCAUUUUGCAGAAGACUGAAGGUGACCAGAAAUGGUGGCUUCGGACUGAGAAAUCCCUCGGAAAGGAGGAAUAUCCCUUUGGCCUCACAGUGCUUGCAAGGCUGCAGUUACAGAGCAAGUAAUGUCCUUAAACUCCCCAGGAAUUGAAGAUCCUUAGUACACUGAUGACAAAUUUAUUUGAGAAAGAUUGUCAUCUGAGGAGGCUGACUUUCGUCCCCAAAUUUGGGGUUUUAAGAAGCAAAUUAGAGCCAGGUUCUUGGCAACAGAGCUGAUAAAAUAUUUAAUACAGAAGAAAUUAAAAAUAAAUAAACAAGUUUAAAAUGAAUGUAAAUUUUAAAAAAAAACAUGAAGUAUUUGACUAUAAAAUAUUUUGUUGGAGUUUUUAACGGGCACCAGAAUUUGACUAUGUUCAUCCUGCCACUUACAAGAAAUAAAAAAGGAAGGCAGAAAUCACGGAGAGUCACAGGAUGACUCCUCGCUUGUCAUUAACAUCUUUUACGAUGGCAGUAGGAAAGAGUCGCUGACCCAGCUAGCCUGGAUUAAUACUGAGCUCUAUGCCGAAGAGAAUCAACCCACAAAAUCCUUUAACUGUAGGCCGUGGGCAGAGGGCAUUUCCCUGAAAGGAAGGACACACAAAGGCUCACCUGAGCACAUGCUUGGAACGACCCAUUAGCUCAUUUGAAUCUUCAAUCUGUAGAUCUGGAGGGCUGGAGGGCAUCGAGGACCAUUUUGAUACAGGCAGAGGCAGAAUUUGCUCUGUUUCAAUUUUAGAAUCUGUGCUAAAAUGGGCAAUUUAGAAUAAUAAAGCUAUCAUGUGCUUCUUGGUC